GACGAACGCUGGCGGCGUGCCUAAUACAUGCAAGUAGAACGCACAGUUUAUACCGUAGCUUGCUACACCAUAAACUGUGAGUUGCGAACGGGUGAGUAACGCGUAGGUAACCUGCCUGGUAGCGGGGGAUAACUAUUGGAAACGAUAGCUAAUACCGCAUAAUAUUAAUUAUUGCAUGAUAAUUGAUUGAAAGAUGCAAUUGCAUCACUACCAGAUGGACCUGCGUUGUAUUAGCUAGUAGGUGAGGUAACGGCUCACCUAGGCGACGAUACAUAGCCGACCUGAGAGGGUGAUCGGCCACACUGGGACUGAGACACGGCCCAGACUCCUACGGGAGGCAGCAGUAGGGAAACUUCGGCAAUGGACGAAAGUCUGACCGAGCAACGCCGCGUGAGUGAAGAAGGUUUUCGGAUCGUAAAGCUCUGUUGUAAGAGAAGAAAGGGUGUGAGAGUGGAAAGUUCACACUGUGACGGUAUCUUACCAGAAAGGGACGGCUAACUACGUG
rnacentral:rRNA from 1 species